CUUCACCUUUUUAGCUUAAUUUCUUCUAACUUUAAUUCCCGAGCUUCCAAUCACUAGCCCUGCUUCCUUUUUAACUCGAGCACAUCUUUUAGGCUGAAAAUAUAAUUUUAACAUAAUUAAGUACCUUAUGUUUGAUAUUUGAGACAAAAUAGCCAAAAAGUAUUAAAAUAUUAGACAAAAUAUAUAACUAAAUAUGCACAUAUCAAAAUACCCCACACUUGACUUUUGCUUGUCCCCAAGCAAAACUAAAUUAUAGCAGACUAGUAUCACAUAAGACAAUCCUAAUCAAACCCAGCCAUUAUGCCAAGACCACAACGCAUGCAUUUGUGUCAAAAAUUUCUANCCUCAAACCAAGGCUCUGAUACCAACUUGUAACAUCCCAAAAUUCAAUACUUAAAAUUUCUUUUAAUUAAACAUUACUUAAAGCAAAUUCAUCACUCCAAGAUAAAUACUUACAAUCCUCAUAAACACUCGCCCACUUCUUUUGAACAAUGGUCAUUUUAUGCAUCUCUCUGAAUCCAUCCGUUGAAAACUUUCUUAACCUCAAGUCAUUUUUGGUUAAACAACCAAGCAUACAUAAAUUCUAGAAAAAUUACAUCCUUGGUACCACAAUGGAGCUCAUGAAUUCUUCACUUAUUUGAUCUUUGAUCUCUUUGAAUUCACCACCUUAUUUUUUGGUUUUUGGUAUCUUCAACUUUUGAAUUCUGAUCUUCAUACUUUAUACUUUAACUACUCCAAAAUUCUUUAACUUUUUGGUAAUUUCUCUCUCUUUUUUUACAUGUUCCUCACUUUUUUUCACUCAAAUCCUACAUGCUUUUGCAAGGAGCUUAACUUCAUCCUUUAUUGGUUAAGGUAUUAGUCUUAUGUGAUGACUACUUAAGUUUUCCUGGAUACAUUUCUGGUACACGAUGCUAAACAUAUUGCAUCCCUCAAACUAAGCAAGGUCAUGUUUUUGUCCCAUGAUUUCACUAGGAUAAAGGGGGCCACAAAUUCAUUAUAACGUAUAUAGGCUCAACUAAGCAUUUGGGUCCUCAUACAAUCAUCAAAUACAGUACUAGCAUGGACUCCUAAUUGCUUUUACCAAAUUUUCCUAAAUUAAGUCCUAACAAUUUUAUGCAAUUUUUUUAAAAAAAAAUUAAAUAAAAUUAUGAUUCUAAUUUCACUAAUAUAACCAACUCUAUACCCUACACUUAAUUCAUGCAAUGUCCCCAUUGCAUGUUAUGCAUGAUAAAGAAAACAUUAAAGUAAAGAGGGAAUUGGAACAAACUCCCUUGGGAUAGUAGUUGCGAGGUUGAUAUUCUUCAUUUAAAGCUCCAUCUUCAACUGAAUUUUAGGCAUGGGAACAACUCAUCCAUGUCUUGGGUGUCAAAUCGUGUGUGGUACAGCUCCAAAUAUUUAGGAAAAAGCUCUCGGAAAUGCUCAGAAAAUAAUCUUCAAAAAUGCAGCCAAUUGCCCGCAUCAAAUGAAAUCAAAUCAUCAAUUUGAAGGUAAGAGAAAGGUCAACUCAUCGAGUUCAUGUGGGGACUUUCCAAGUUGAAGCGUGAUGCUGGCAUAAAAUCACGAUUUUUCACUUGGAUUCAUCAAGUUCUGGAUAUGGACUUGACGAGUCAUCGUUGUAUGGACAAAAAUGCUUUCUAUUUCAGCUCCAUUUAUCAUGUUUAAGGAGAGUAUUAAAGCAAUAUUCCUUCUUGUUUUCUUCAGUAAAAUACACUCUUUAACCGCUCUAAUUUUCGGACUCGAUACCAGACUCAAUUCUCAUAUCUUCUUUUCUAGACUCGACUUCUCUCAUUAUUCCCUUAUGCUCUACUUACGCACUUAAUCCCUCGACCUAAUGCUAAAAAGAUAAAAAACAACACACAAGUAAUAUAAGAGGAAAAAAAUAAAAAUCCUAAUUACUACUUGUUCAAGCAUAAACCAAGCAAACAAAAAAUAAAAACAAACCAAACAAACAUUGUCUUAAAUAAACACACAAAUAAAAAAAAUAAAAAAGGAUAAUCAUUCUUCAUCGACCCUUCCAUGACCACUUCCACCCGCACCACUUCUUCUUGCAUUCACCCGCUCUUCCCAACUCCUAACGUACGGGUACUCGGGGCCAUCCAUUCGUGGUAUGUUCAAAUGGCUCAUCAAGUGGGAGAGUGUCAUGUGGUUGUAGUUCAUGCUCCGCCCAAGAUCGUCUUGCUAUUGCCUCGAUUCCAUACUAUACCAAUCCAUUGGCAACUCUUCAUCCACCAGGAUUACCGGUGGCUCUUCAUGUGCAUGGUCGUGCCUCGGCCUCACUCUCCUACCCAGUUGUUCAGGUGCCACUACUUCAUCAUCUUCCGGAAUGGCAAAGCUAACACCACCAUAAUCCUCCACUAUUUUCGCCAUCCUAAAAAGAAUAUGAUUAAAUGGAGGUGUGGGUAUCAUGGUUAGAACACUCGUGGAUCCCCUCUCAAGAAUGCCAUAUGACCUUGCUAACUUAGUCACAAACAUACCCCCAUUAAUUUUAGAAGUUUUUCUCUCCUUCACCGCCCUUUCGCCCAAAUACCUUGCCAAACAGUAAGGAAUAUUGCAAAAGGUGUUUGGCAUGAUUAUGCACCAUAAAAAGAAUACAUCAAGGCUUGGCACCUUGUCGUCAUCCUUCCUCAUGUUUAUUGUGCUAGCAAUGAGGUGGUGAAUCAAGCGGUGAAUCGGGUACCGAAUGCUCCCUUAUUGAGCUGCAAUAGGUACGUAGACGUUGUUUGCUAUCUUGUUCCACCAAUUUCCCAAUUUUGUCCCUUCAGGAAAAACUCUAUGGCAACUAUCCAAGAAUGUACCAAACGCCCCCGUCAUGACCAAAGAUUGGUCAUAUAGACCCAUUCUCCAUCCCAAGUCCGCCAUGCUACAUUCCCGGUAUUCACCACCGAGACAAAAGGUGAAGGCCUUCGGGUUAUAAUAGUCGUCUCCUCCGCAGAAUGUCAUAGUGGAAAAGAACUCUAAACAAAGUUCCAUGUACACCGGUUCUUGUAUCCAGAAUAAUCUCUUCCACCCGUCACAUGUGAUUUGAACUCCAUCUUGCAUGAAGACUUUAGUUAAGCAUGGGCUCAAAGAAUCCGCCAAACCUACUUUCUCAAUCCACGUCCAAUUUAGUUCAUCCGGUACAUAGAAUUCCUUUUUCUUAAAUGUUUCAAGCCUCUUUUUCCAUCUAGUCAAAUUAGCCUUGGAUCUAAUUUUUGGAAAGUUGAACCAAGGGAAGUCCCCUUGGUCUCUUCUAGAGCUCUGACCCCUGCUUUUGAACAUUUCCUACAAACCUAACACAAGGAAAAUAAACAUACAAACGACAGAACUUGUUAAAAGAAUAAAUAUCUAGAAACUGAAACAUGGACUCGUCGAGUUCAUGAACGGACUUGUCGAGUCCAUGAACAGAUCGUAGGCAUACUUCUUAUUCGAACCCAGAUCUGCCAUGUAAAUCCAAAAUUUGUUCUAGGGGUUUGUUCAGGGUGAAAAUCCAAAUACUAAUUUACAAACAAUUUCAGUCCAAACACUCUAAUUUAACCAAAAUCAAAACCCUAAAAUUUAUAUCAAAACCAAAAACCAAUUGUUUAACAAAUUCCAACUUCUAAACUAUAAAGAUCAAAACUUUAACAAGAUUAUGCACAAAAAAUGUUUCCUUUUGAGCAAAUUGGAAGAGAAAAUCACGAAAAUUGGAAAUCUUUGCUUGAGAGAACUCUUGAUCGAAUGGGGGAGGGUGACGGCUGUGAAAAGAAAUGAUUGUUUUACCCUCUGUGUUAUUUUAUACUGAAUGCAAUUUUUAUUUUUUAUAAAAUAAUUAAACCAAUUCCUUCAAUGGUUAAAAUAUAUAUAUAUAUAUAUAUAUAUAUAUAUAUAUAUAUAAACAUCAUACAAAUUCAAAAUUAAAUAUACAAAUUUAUACAAAAAUUUAAAUAGAAACAUUUUGGGUGACAUUGUUAUUACUAAAUAGAUUUUUUUAAAUACAAUACUCUAAUUGGAAGUGGUGAUAAUAUGAUGCUAUAAUAGAUAAAUUAAUAAAAGUACAUUGCUAUUUUCUCAUUUACACAUCACCACAAGUAUAAUAACCUUGUCUAAUAAUUACGUGUGUUUCCAAAUCACUAAGGAAGCUCAUUGAAAACAUCCCUAUACAACCCAUAAAUCAUUGCAGCCAUGUGACGUUCAUUCAACAAAAUGGAGGUAUUUUCUUGCCUUCACAAAGUUUAUUUCUUCCCUGUAACGGGAAAAAUAUUCAUUCACCAAAAACUAAAAACAAGGCACCAAAAGUUAAAUUCAACACUAAACGCAUGAGAAAAUUCCACAAAAUUAAACAAUAAGCAUAAGAACAUCUCAUGUCAUAUGCAAAUUUGUAACCAAACAUCAUUACAAUGGACUAUUUAUUGAGAGUUAUAUUACCAUAAACCAAUUGUUCAUUAAAUUUCUUGCAACUAUGAAGUAAUUUUGUAUUCUUUGAUCAAAAACUUUAACUUGCAGCUAUAAUGGAAUCAAGCUUCUAGCAAGCAUGUGCAUAAGAAUAGAGUAGAACAAACAAGGAAUCACAAUGGUGAUGUCGCUGUUGAGCUACAUUAUAGUGAUAUUAGUCAAAAGGGGAGCCUGUCAUCAUUUGUAAUGUUCUUGAAACCAUCGAUUCAAAACAUCACAGAAAACCCAAAAUAUGAACAUUUAAAAACUUUGAUUAUUAAAUCGAUUUUAGAUUUCACAUCAGGAGAACAAUUCGAUUUCAAGAAUGUGGAGUGAUUUUAGAAACUUUAUACCUGACCAAUGAAGAGGAUCAGAGAUCGCCUAGUGGAGACCAACGUUGUCGAGGGCGAAACCAGCGCUGGAGAGGGCGGCGCUUUUGAGUGUGGCACCAGCGAUGUCAGAGCUUGGCGGAGACCGAUUUCGGUUUUUGAUUUUCAACUUUAGGGCAUAGAAAAUGUUGGGAAGGCUGCUGAGACGAAACAAACGGGGAGAGGAGGCUGCUGGGACGUUGACGAUCGGUUGGGCGGUGGCGUCGGCGACGGGAACCAGGCGAAGGGAAGCAGACGCGAACCGGGGAAGAAAACACAGGAGGAAAACACUAGAAUAGGAGAAGAGGAUUCGGGUUAUGUUCGACCGUGUGGUUCAGGGCAAAACAAGAUGUACAUUUUUUUUUAAUUCAGACUUUGUUCCCUAUCUGAAAAAUUAAGAGGUCUUUUUGAUUUGAAGAGGUAAAAAUUAAG
rnacentral:lncRNA from 1 species